GAUGAACGCGGGCGGCGUGCCUAAUACAUGCAAGUAGAACGCUGAAGCUUGGUGCUUGCACCGAGCGGAAGAGUUGCGAACGGGUGAGUAACGCGUAGGUAACCUGCCUCUUAGCGGGGGAUAACUAUUGGAAACGAUAGCUAAUACCGCAUAAAAGUCGGCAUUGCAUGAUGUUGACUUGAAAGGUGCAACUGCAUCACUAAGAGAUGGACCUGCGUUGUAUUAGCUAGUUGGUGAGGUAACGGCUCACCAAGGCGACGAUACAUAGCCGACCUGAGAGGGUGAUCGGCCACACUGGGACUGAGACACGGCCCAGACUCCUACGGGAGGCAGCAGUAGGGAAUCUUCGGCAAUGGACGGAAGUCUGACCGAGCAACGCCGCGUGAGUGAAGAAGGUUUUCGGAUCGUAAAGCUCUGUUGUAAGAGAAGAACGAGUGUGAGAGUGGAAAGUUCACACUGUGACGGUAACUUACCAGAAAGGGACGGCUAACUACGUGCCAGCAGCCGCGGUAAUACGUAGGUCCCGAGCGUUAUCCGGAUUUAUUGGGCGUAAAGCGAGCGCAGGCGGUUAGAUAAGUCUGAAGUUAAAGGCUGUGGCUUAACCAUAGUACGCUUUGGAAACUGUUUAACUUGAGUGCAGAAGGGGAGAGUGGAAUUCCAUGUGUAGCGGUGAAAUGCGUAGAUAUAUGGAGGAACACCGGUGGCGAAAGCGGCUCUCUGGUCUGUAACUGACGCUGAGGCUCGAAAGCGUGGGGAGCAAACAGG
rnacentral:rRNA from 1 species